GGGCGUGAACAAAGCAAAAUGGAUAUACAGGAUUGAUAUAGCCUGCUCUGAUUUGUUUGGGAUUGAGAUUACUUGAUUGAUAUAUUGGAAGUUUCAUUUUUUCCCUUUUUAGCGCCUUUAGUAUUCUGUGUAUUCGGCGCUUUCUCCUUUUUUCAAUUAACCUCAUUUCUUGUGUCAUUGAAGUUCUGGAAAUUCGUUCAUUCAUAUGCACUUUAUUUUGAAUACUCUCGUUUGGUACGUCCAUUCCAUCUCCAAGAAUGGAUUUUUAGUUUAUGUUUCUGUUAUUUAUCCCGUGCGUGUCCAGUGCUUGCUAUCUUUGGGCGGGUAUAACAUUUUCAUCUUCUAUUUUUGUUGAAGAUCUGCUAUUUGCCACUUAGGUGCUAUUAUUGUGCUUUCUCUUUUCUAUUCUUGAACUAAUUGCUACUCUAUUUACUUGUUACAAGCUAUUGGCUAAGUGAACCCGAAAGUGAUUUCUGCUGAAGUUUGGUUGAUAUUGAAUUUGUUCUCGGACAAGUUAUUGUCUGCUCUUUUGUAGAACUGAUGUCAACUAUUCGAUCCUUGUAAAGCCACCAGCUGUUUUUUUUUCCUUCCUGUGUUUGUAUGGCGGCAAAGUUUUUUGAUUACCUUGAUUAUUGGAUAAUCUUUUCUCCAGAAAAAUGUUUUUCACCGAAAUGGAGAAAUUGACUUUUGUCACGGGUGGAAGUCAUUUCCUUUUAGAAAUAUUCCAACUUUAUUUAAUCCUCACUGUCCUGUUUCCAUUGCAUUUUAUGAGAUCUGUUACAAAAACUAGUGCUUGCUGACCAAUAUUUUAGCAGAAAUCUAGCUGAAGAAAUUACGUUUCUUUGAUGCGAGUCUCAGUCUCUCAGAGAUGCAAUGUGCACUUUAAAGGGAUUAUGCAUUGGUAUUAGAAAGAGCACCACGGCACUUGAUCAGUUGAUCUCACUGUACCACUACAUCAUCUUUGUUUUCUUCAAACUAGUUUUGGCUUCAUCUGCUCUUUAGCUCUUUUGCUGGUGCAAUUGUUGUUCGGUUAGCCUUAGAACCCUAUAAGGCUUGUGUUAGAGUUAUCCAUUGCAUAUCCUUCCCCGGACCCUGCAAUUAACCAGAAUGAUUUUAUGCAUGCUGUCCGAUCAAAAUCUUCAGUUUAAAUCUUUUUGCUUUUGCUGCAAAAAUUACCUUAAACUAAACAUCAUUUUAGUUGAUAUAUAUAUAGCUAUUGCAGUGUGGAACCCGAUCCAAUACACUAUAUAUUGUGGCGUGCAACCCGAUCCAAUAUAAUACAUGUUGCGGCGUGCAACCCGAUCCAAUAUAAUAUCUGUUAUGCGUGCAACCCGAUCCAGUAUAAUAUCUGUUACGCAUGCAACUCGAUCCAUAUAUAUAUAUAUAUAUAUAUAUAUAUAUAUAUAUAUAUAUAUAUAUAAUAUCUGUGCUAUUCUCAUGAGGCAAUCCAUUACGUUGUCAUCCACAAGCAGAUCCUGAAAUAACAGGAAUAAAGAAAGAUGAACCUAAUACUCCUUAUAAUAGGCUCAAGUCUGAUUCUGGAGUGAAACAUGGUGUGCAAACCUGAGAGAGAGUGAACGUGAGAGGGAGAAGAAGAGGGAACUUAAUAGGACUCCAUAUAAGCUAUGUUGCUCGAACUAUCGGAAAAUGUCGUGGGUGCAUGUCGGGUCUUCCAAAAGUAGUGCAUUUUUGGAGAAUCCGACAUGGGCGCGGUAGCAUUUUGGAGAGUCCGUGCACAUAGCAUAUAAGUAGGAAGUGAAAUUUAGAAAUCAGUAUGUUAUAGACUAUAAUAAACUAAGCUAGCAAGGAUAGUGUUUCAUGGAUUUUCAUCUACUGGUAGUAUACAACAUGUGGGGGAACUAUGUAAACAUCGAAAUCAGUCCUGCUUCCUGGUGACAAAUCAGACAGCAGAAAUGAUAUUAACUUUGAGUUUACUAGAACCUUUGUUUUCUCGAAUAAGUGUAUAGAAUGUUAAUUAGUUUCCUGCCUCUCAAUCUCAAGAGUUUCAUUCUUUGCUGUACCUUUCCCAUAUUUUUCCUCUUGUAAUGGGCUUGCCAAUUUCAUUUAUGGCAUCAUGUUAGGAUAUAAUAAUGCAUGGUUCUGCUUCUCAGCUAACAUGUUUUAAUCUAUUUACUGGCUUUUAAGAUUAAAAAAAAGAUGAGUAAAGAUAGUUGGAUGAAAGAAGCUAAAAUCUAUAUAUUGAGUCUUUGGAUCAUCAAUUUAAGAAGAGGCAAGUAUAAUGUACACCAACUUUUUCUUUUCUGUUCGCUGUUGCACUUUGUCUCUCCAUAUUAAAUGAACAAAAAUGCCGAAACUUUGUUUGUUGUCCUCUCGAUGAAAUGCAUUUCCUAUAUCCCUGUGGAUGCCCCUAUUUAUCCUUGUUUUGUCCGCUUCAUUGGCAGGUUGCAGUUAUUGCCCCAAACGUCCCCGCUUUGUAUGAAGCUCAUUUUGGAAUUCCA
rnacentral:lncRNA from 1 species